rnacentral:rRNA from 1 species
AUGGCUCAGAUUGAACGCUGGCGGCAGGCCUAACACAUGCAAGUCGAGCGGAUGACGGGAGCUUGCUCCUUGAUUCAGCGGCGGACGGGUGAGUAAUGCCUAGGA